GCCCCAUCCGGAGCCGCGGCCCUGGAAAGGCAAGGGGGGCGAGAGGGGCCGGGCCUACCCCUUUUCGCCGCAGGGACCCCGGAAUGGACCUGACGUUGGACUGAGCACUGACCUUAGAAGCUUCAAAACUACCAGAUAAAAUUGAACAGGGAUGAAAUUGCUCCCCAUGACCUGAGAAUUGACCUGGAACGUUGUUUCCAGGAUUUGGAGUCCAAGGGAAUAUUCAGCAAUAAAAAGUAAUGUACUGGGCUUCCCUGGUGGCACAGUGGUUAAGAAUCCGCCUGCUAGUGCAGGGGACAUGGGUUCGAGCACUGGUCUGGGAAGAUCCCACAUACCGCGGAGCAACUAAGCCCGAGCGCCACAACUACUGAGCCUGCGCUCUAGAUCCCGCGAGCCACAACUACUGAAGCCCACGUACCACAACUGCUGAAGCCUGCGCACCUAGAGCCCAUGCUCUGCAGCAAGACAAGCCACGACAGUGAGAAGCCCGUGCACCGCAAUGAAGAGUAGCCCUCGCUCGCCACAACUAGAGAAAGCCCGCGCACAGCAACAAAGACCUAACGAAGCCAAAAGAAAAAAAAAAGACCAUUAAAAAAAAAAUGUACUGAUACAUGCAACAGCAUGAAUAAAUCACAAAAAUAUUAUAGUAAAAGAA